rnacentral:lncRNA from 1 species
AUCCGCGUGGGGAAGCGCCCGGGGUGGCCACGCGGGGCCCGGAGGGUGUCGCCCUCGCGGCACCGGAGUCAAGGAGAAGGGAACGAAUCCCCAAGGAAGAAUCCGAAAUGUCCUCAGCCAGGUUUGCGCUGACCGCCCUCGCCCUGGCAGCCACAGCCGCAGCGGGAAGGACCACAGUUGGCAGUCAGAACCCUGGCUCCAACCCGCCAGGGGAGCCUGGACGGCCGCGACGUUCCCGGGUUUCUCCUGCCGGGACCCCGGCCUUCCCUUCAGCACCCAUCAAAGUUAACACAGGCAGGAGGCCCAGAAAGGAAGACAAGACCCCAAAGGCAGAACUAAGAGUAUUCUAAGCCCAGCUGGAGAGGACGCCGCCGCCUCUUCCCCUUCUCACGCGCUUGCCUAGGACCCCCAGCUCCCUUCUCACGCGCUUGCCCAGGCUGGCGGUCCCAACUUUCUUCCCCUGCAAGAGGACGCGGCUACGGCGGGACUCAUGCCCGGGCCAGUUAGCGCCACCUACCGGCCACUCCCUUCCUUUCACCGUUCACAUUGUCCUGCUGGCCCGCGUCUUAAACCCAUUUCACAGUGCCCAGAAGUAGUGGGCAUUCGUACCCAGGAAGCGAUUCUGCCUUCGUUAUGCCCCUGUCCUUUCCAAAUGCCUGGAGGAUCUAGCUGUUAGAUCCUCCCAGCUGCCACUGCCUGUUUUAACCAUAAGCUGCUUCUCUCGAAUAUUCAGAGUGGGACAACUCCAAAGACCAGACCAGGGGUCAAGGGGUUCAGGUCAGUGCCAUAACCAUUUCUUGCUGGAAGUAUGUGAAUAGUGACUGGUACCCACCAGACUGCCAGGAAUAUGUCUCUUUGGCCCCAAGGCUUGAGCCACAAAAUCCAGCUGCAGCGAACUGCCAUCUCUUAAGACAUAAAAACAUACACAACCGCCACUGUUAAAAAUACAUUUAUCAUUAAAAUAUAUUACACAUGGAGACAGGAUGCAUCAUAUACAGUUUGGAAGACUUGCUGGCCCAGAAAAUCCCACUUGUUUCACCGAACACUCAUUUUUUCAGUGAUUUUACAUUUUAUUUUUAGAGACGGGGUCUCCCUCUCUCACCCGGGCUGGCGUACAGUGAUGUGGUCAUAGGUCACUGCAGCCUCAAACUCCUGUGCUCAAGUGAGCCACCCACGUCAGCCUCCCAAGUAACUGGGACCACAGGCAUGCAUCACCACACCCAGCUAAUUUUUUAAAAAUGUUUUUGUAGAGAGGGGGUCUCCCUGUGUUGCCCAGCCUGGUCCCAAACUCCUGGUCUCAAGUGAUGCUCCCACCUCAGUCUCCCAAAGCAGGUGGAUCACCUGAGGCCAGGCAUUCGAGACCAGCCUGGCCAACAUGGUGAAACCGUGUCUAUACUAAAAACACACAAAAAAA